CUUUCGAAUGCUUUGUCGGAGUGAUGUUAUUGCAAUAAGGGCUUGGAAUGAGAUAGAGACGGUUCUAGGGCAGCACCGCCAUGGAAAUGAGAAGCACAGCUUGCAGAAGAAAUACAAGGAUCCCUGACAAAGUUAGAGGCAGAAGAUUGAGUAUUUUCCUAAGAAUGCUUGCCCUCCAGUGUGGACUCCUCGACAUUCGAGAUGCCAGAUUUAUUUCACUUCAGUCAUUAACUUUAGAUGUUUCGUAUUUUAAGUAUAGUACUCCUGUUGGUACUUGGUACCCCGACAUGCCACCUGAAAAGCUCAAGUGACUCAGUGUCGUCCCGUUGCCGAAGUUCUGCGUAUUGACCGUAACGUCUGGGAGGACUGGGGCUAGUUGCGAGCUCGAGGAUAGAUAGGGAGCAGCCAAUGGGAUGCCGUUCUUAAGCCACGUGGACAUAGCGCCCUGCUGACCGCUGACCUGACAGGUGAGAUUGAGGUCGCUGGUUCGGUUCACUUUAAAAGUGGCGCCGGGAGGAGAGACGUCUGGUACGCUUCCUGGAAAUUAAUCGAAAUUAAUUAACAACUCGAGCUACUGGUGGACAAAUUGGCUACUGGAAAAUAGUUGAAGUUAAUAAGUAUAGCCAGUAACACAAGCGUUAUCACAUGACUUUUGGAAUAUUCAAAAUGCUUAAAAUAAAUCAUCACGUCACUAAAAG